rnacentral:rRNA from 1 species
UACGUAGGGGGCAAGCGUUGUCCGGAUUUAUUGGGCGUAAAGAGCGUGUAGGCGGCCUGGAAGGUCAGCUGUGAAAACUCGAGGCUCAACCUCGAGACGUCGGUUGAAACCACCUGGCUAGAGUCCGGAAGAGGAGAGUGGAAUUCCCGGUGUAGCGGUGAAAUGCGCAGAUAUCGGGAAGAACACCCGUGGCGAAGGCGGCUCUCUGGGACGGUACGUGACGCAGAGACGGCGAAAGCGUGGGAGCGACCGAGGAUAGAUACC